CCACAACAAAGGCAUGUUUCAUGUUACGACCUCUUGAGGAAAAAGGUUACAUUAUACCAUUUAAUGAACGAGGUGGCGGAUGUGGUGCAGCUAUGAGAUCCAUGUGUAUAGGUUUGAUGUUUCCUUGUGAAGAUCAAAUUAAAAUGUUAAUUGAAAUUGCUGUUGAAAGUGGAAGGAUGACUCAUAAUCACCCCACAGGUUAUCUAGGGGCUGUUACUGCAGCUUUAUUUACAGCCUAUACUAUACAGAAGAUGGCUCCUAAAAAAUGGAGAGCACGACUUUUAAGUGUUUUACCCAAAGUUUAGGAAUACAUUGAGAAGGUUGGUCGUGAUGUAGAAGAAAAAAGAAAUCUUGGGGCUGCUUUAAAAACAGUUGAGAGUUAUAUCUUGAACUACGGGGAUUAACAAAUGGAACCAUUGAACGAAAGUUUCCAGUGAAUUAUAACAUACCUGAACGUGAUGCUGUUUAUAAAUCUGUGAGUUAUGCAGGUUGGGGUGGGUCCAGUGGUCAUGAUGCACCAAUGAUUGCUUACGAUGAUUUGAUGAUGGCAAAAGAUUCCUGGUUUCAAUUGUGCUCUUGUUCUUAGUUUCAUGGUGGAGAUAGUGAAAGCACAAGAAUAUUGGAUGCAGCAUGGUGGGGUGGUAUGUAUGGUAUGAAAAGUGUACCCCUUGGAAAUUAUAGGAACGUGGAAUUUGGUCAUAGGCUUAUGGAACUGGGUAAAAAAUUACUGAAUGUAUCAAAGAAUAUGAACAACUAACAGGAUAGUAUUUAUUUAACAAAAUUCUGUCAUCCCAAUAUACUUUAGUAUGUUUGUAAAUCAUACAAUAAAAAUUACUACUUGGUUA